GUUACUGAGAGAUGGCCCCAGACUCCCCCCGGGGGGCACCGCUGUGGAUUUUUUCCCCCUAAGAGCAAAAAUUUGAGGGGGAAGCACAUCGUGCACAGGAUAAAUUUUCUCGAAAUAUAAACCCGCUGUUAUAGGGAGAGAAAAUAUAGAAUGGGAAGUGUUUUUUCUCUUGACGGAACAUAUAUUAGAAAGCGACGGCAAACUAUGCGCCAGCAGCUGCGGUAAUACAUAGGUCGCAAGCGUUAUCCGGAAUUAUUGGGCGUAAAGCGUCCGUAGGUUUUUUGCUAAGUCUGGAGUUAAAUGCUGAAGCUCAACUUCAGUCCGCUUUGGAUACUGGCAAAAUAGAAUUAUAAAGAGGUUAGCGGAAUUCCUAGUGAAGCGGUGGAAUGCGUAGAUAUUAGGAAGAACACCAAUAGGCGAAGGCAGCUAACUGGUUAUAUAUUGACACUAAGGGACGAAAGCGUGGGGAGCAAACAGG
rnacentral:rRNA from 1 species